CCUACGGGGGGCAGCAGUGAGGAAUAUUGGUCAAUGGGCGCGAGCCUGAACCAGCCAAGUAGCGUGAAGGAUGACUGCCCUCCGGGUUGUAAACUUCUUUUAUAAAGGAAUAAAGUGAGGCACGUGUGCCUCUUUGUAUGUACUUUAUGAAUAAGGAUCGGCUAACUCCGUGCAAGCAGCCGCGGUAAUACGGAGGAGCCGAGCGUUAUCCGGAUUUAUUUGGUUUAAAGGGAGCGUAGAUGGGUUGUUAAGUCAGUUGUGAAAGUUUGCGGCUCAACCGUAAAAUUGCAAUUGAUACUGGCAGUCUUGAGUACAGUUGAGGUAGGCGGAAUUCGUGGUGUAGCGGUGAAAUGCUUAGAUAUCACGAAGAACCCCGAUUGCGAAGGCAGCUUACUAAACUGUGACUGACAUUGAUGCUCGAAAGUGUGGGUAUCAAACAGGAUUAGAUACCCUUGUAGUC
rnacentral:rRNA from 1 species